GCCAGCGGUGCUUACAACGAAGAUCCAAUGGUCUGGGACUUGAUUUGAGUUUUAACAGGGCUCGAAGAUCGUUCUUGAGUCAAAUUGGCCUGACUGGAGGUCUUUAAAAGAUCCUAUGGGCAGCAGUCGAGAACAGAGCGUGACAGAGAGCUUCUGUGGUCGCCUGAGAGCAACAAAGAGUUGUGAGAGAGGGAUUCUCCCGAGUGCUUUUGUAAGGGGUGUAUGUGAGGUCUUCUAAGAGAGAAGAGAGGUGUUCACAAGAGAUAGAAGAAAGGUUUCUUCCAAGAGAGAAGAGGAAGCGUACAAGGCUAGAGGAAGGAUUUUCUUCUGGAAGGCGCCACCUGCAAAGAGAGGUUUGCUCUUGUUUUUUCUUCUCCUAUUUUACCCCUGUAAAUUCCCUGCUAUUACAUAAAAAAAAACAUAUAUUCUAUGCGGCCAAGGACGUAGGAGUAAAAGACUCCGAACCACGUAAAAUCCCUUGUGUUUUGUUUUGUGCUUGUAUAUUUUUUCAAUUUUUCUUUCCCUUCUCCUACAACUACUGUAAUCCACUGCACAUCGCCCCCUAACAGGCCAUUGACUAUGUUUGACUCAUAACAAAUAAGAGCUAGAGGCUUACCUUCCUGCUUUUCUUUUUUUUCUAUCUAAGACUUGAACUUACGGCACUGGCUCCUUAUAUAGCCUUUCUUCUAAUAGUAAAAAUAUCUGACAUUUUUUUUAAUGGCAGGUUUGGGGCCUCCUACAGAACGAUUCUGACCAGGGUUGUUAUCAUGUCCUUUAG
rnacentral:lncRNA from 1 species